rnacentral:lncRNA from 1 species
UUGGGGAAUUUGGGAUUUCUGGGAUUUUGGGGAAUUUAGGAUUGGGAUUUCUGGGAAUUGGGGAAUUUGGGAUUGGGAUUUCUGGGAAUUUGGGGAUUUUGGGAUUGGGAUUUUGGGGAAUUUGGGAUUGGGAUUUCUGGGAUUUCUGGGAAUUUAGGAUUGGGAUUUCUGGGAUUUUGGGGAAUUUGGGAUUUCUGGGAAUCCGGGCCCAGCAUUCCCAGGGAUUUUGGGGAAUUUGGGAUUGGGAUUUCUGGGAUUUGGGGAAUUUGGGAUUGGGAUUUUGGGGAAUUUAGGAUUGGGUUUUCUGGGAUUUUGGGGAAUUUGGGAUUUCUGGGAUUUUGGGGAAUUUGGGAUUGGGAUUUCUGGGAUUUGGGGGAAUUUGGGAUUGGGAUUUUGGGGAAUUUGGGGAAUUUGGGAUUGGGAUUUGGGAAUUUGGGAUUUCUGUGAGUCCCCGGUUUCCGUUUCCCGCAGAUCCCUCGGGGUUCGUGUUCGAUUCUCGCUCCGGGGCCGUGCGGGCUCAGGGCGGCGCCGAGAACAUGAGGGAGAAGGUGCAGGCCGUGCGCGCGGUCGUUCCCAACCGCAGCAACACCGAG